GCAAAGGGAUGCCUUAGUAGCGGCGAGUGAAGCGGCAAAAGCUCAAAUUUGAAAUCUGGCUCUUUCAGAGUCCGAGUUGUAAUUUGAAGAAGGUAUCUUUGGGUCUGGCUCUUGUCUAUGUUUCUUGGAACAGAACGUCACAGAGGGUGAGAAUCCCGUGCGAUGAGAUGAUCCAGGCCUAUGUAAAGUUCCUUCGAAGAGUCGAGUUGUUUGGGAAUGCAGCUCUAAGUGGGUGGUAAAUUCCAUCUAAAGCUAAAUAUUGGCGAGAGACCGAUAGCGAACAAGUACAGUGAUGGAAAGAUGAAAAGAACUUUGAAAAGAGAGUGAAAAAGUACGUGAAAUUGUUGAAAGGGAAGGGCUUGAGAUCAGACUUGGUAUUUUGUAUGUUACUUCUUCGGGGGUGGCCUCUACAGUUUAUCGGGCCAGCAUCAGUUUGGGCGGUAGGAGAAUUGCGUUGGAAUGUGGCACGACUUCGGUUGUGUGUUAUAGCCUUCGUCGAUACUGCCAGCCUAGACUGAGGACUGCGGUUUAUACCUAGGAUGUUGGCAUAAUGAUCUUAAGUCGCCCGUCUUAAAACCCGGGACCAAAA
rnacentral:rRNA from 1 species